UUGUUGUCUUUCUUUCUUUCUUUUUUGUCUUUCUUGUUCACUGAACUUCCCGGUGGCUCUUUCUCUUUCUCUUUGUUUGUGUUGUUCUUUGGAGAUGUCUCUCUUUGGGAAAGGAAAGAAACAAGAUCCGGUUAAACAAGCAAGAGAGUGGAAAGGGCAAUUGAGAGCUCAAAUCAGAGUAUGUGAAAGACAAAUCAGAGAUUUACAAAGAGAAGAAAAGAAAGCACAA
rnacentral:ribozyme from 13 species